rnacentral:rRNA from 1 species
GACGGAAGGUGCAAGCGUUGCUCGGAAUCACUGGGCGUAAAGGGUGCGUAGGCGGCCGUGCAAGUCUGGCGUGAAAGCCCCGGGCUCAGCCCGGGAAGUGCGCUCGAAACUGCGCGGCUCGAGUGCCGGAGGGGAGAGUGGAAUUCCUGGUGUAGCGGUGAAAUGCGUAGAUAUCAGGAGGAAUACCGGUGGCGAAAGCGACUCUCUGGACGGCAACUGGCGCUGAGGCACGAAAGCGUGGGGAGCAAACAGG